rnacentral:lncRNA from 1 species
UAUAUAUAUAUAUAUAUAUAUAUAUAUUAGAAAAAAAAAUUAGGUACUCAGAAAUGUGGAUGGUUGUACAUUAACAGAUUUUUAUCAAUAUGUCACAUGUUUUUAUAAAUCAUAUAUUAGCGCUUGCAUCUACUCUAGUAGAUCCUUCAGAUUUGAAUUUCUUUGAGAGGAUUCGUCUCUUUUUAUAGAU